rnacentral:rRNA from 1 species
GGUUGAUCCUGCCAGUAGUCAUAUGCUUGUCUCAAAGAUUAAGCCAUGCAUGUGUAAGUAUAAGUAUUGUACAGCGAAACUGCGAAUGGCUCAUUAAAACAGUUAUAGUUUAUUUGAUAAUCGAAAGUUACAUGGAUAACCGUGACAAAUUACAGCUAAUACAUGCAUCAAGAUCCAGCAAUGGAUUGUAAUUAUUAGUAUUAAACUAAUUCCUUCGGGAAUGUGAUGAAUCAUAAUAAUCGAACGAAUCGUAGAAUUCUACGAUAAAUCAUUCAAGUUUCUGCCCUAUCAG